UACGUAGGGGGCUAGCGUUGUCCGGAAUUAUUGGGCGUAAAGAGCUCGUAGGCGGUCUGUUGCGUCGGCUGUGAAAACCCGAGGCUCAACCUCGGGCCUGCAGCCGAUACGGGCAGACUAGAGUUCGGCAGGGGAGACUGGAAUUCCUGGUGUAGCGGUGAAAUGCGCAGAUAUCAGGAGGAACACCGGUGGCGAAGGCGGGUCUCUGGGCCGAUACUGACGCUGAGGAGCGAAAGCGUGGGGAGCGAACAGG
rnacentral:rRNA from 1 species